rnacentral:misc_RNA from 1 species
GAUGAAGAACGUAGUGAAAUGCGAUACUUGGUGUGAAUUGCAGAAUCCCGUGAACCAUCGAGUCUUUGAACGCAAGUUGCGCCUCAAGCCAUUAGGUUGAGGGCACGUCUGCCUGGGCGUCACAUAUCGUUGCCUGAUGCCAGUUUCCUCGUGAUGGGUGACUGUGCAGGGCGAAUGAUGGCUUCCCGUGAGCAUUGUUGCCUCAUGGUUGGUUGAAAAUUGAGUCCUUGGUAGGGAGCGCCGUGAUAGAUGGUGGUUGAGUGACGAACGAGACCCAAUCAUGUGAGACCCCUACCGAAUUUGGCCUUCAUGACCCACAUGCGUCUUUGGAACGCUCAUGACGAGACCUCAGGUCAGGCGGGGCUACCCGCUGAGUUUAAGCAUAUCAAUGCGGAGGA